AUUGAACGCUGGCGGCAGGCCUAACACAUGCAAGUCGAGCGGAUGAGUGGAGCUUGCUCCAUGAUUCAGCGGCGGACGGGUGAGUAAUGCCUAGGAAUCUGCCUGGUAGUGGGGGACAACGUUUCGAAAGGAACGCUAAUACCGCAUAAUGUCUACGGACCAAAGUGUGGGACCUUCGGGCCACAUGCUAUCGGAUGCGCCUACGUGGGAUUAGCUAGUUGGUGGGGUAAUGGCUCACCAAGGCGACGAUCCCUAGCUGGUUUGAGAGGAUGAUCAGCCACACUGGAACUGAGACACGGUCCAGACUCCUACGGGAGGCAGCAGUGGGGAAUAUUGGACAAUGGGCGCAAGCCUGAUCCAGCCAUGCCGCGUGUGUGAAGAAGGCCUUCGGGUUGUAAAGCACUUUCAGUAGGGAGGAAGGGUGUUGUGUUAAUAGCACAGCAUUUUGACGUUACCUACAGAAGAAGCACCGGCUAACUCUGUGCCAGCCGCCGCCGUAAUAC
rnacentral:rRNA from 1 species